UAGUCAUACGCUNGUCUCAAGGAUUAAGCCAUGCAUGUCUAAGUAUAAAGGUUAUAAUGAAACUGCAAAUGGCUCAUUCAAACAGUUAUAGUUUAUUUGAUAUUCAAGCUAAUAUUCUUAUUAGUUUAAAUGGAUAACCGUAGUAAUUCUAGAGCUAAUACAUGCGUUACGGGGAACUUUACGGAACCCCAGCGUUUAUUAGAUUUAAACCAAUAUUCCGCAAGGUCUACUGAGAUGAUUCAUGAUAACUGAUCGAAUGCUGGAACUCCAGCAUAAUCAUGUAUGUUUCUGCUUCCCAUCAGCUUGAUGGUAGUGUAUUGGACAACCAUGGCAUUCACGGGCUAUCGGGGGAUUAGGGUUCGAUUCCGGAGAGGGAGCCUGAUAAACGGCUACCACUUCUACGGAAGGCAGCAGGCGCGAAAAUUAUCCAAUCCUGACUCAGGGAGGUAGUGAAAGAAAUAAUGAACUAGGAUUUAUCCUGGGAUCACAAUGGGCUUGAUUUGCAAACACUUAGCGAGGAACAAUUGGAGGGCAAGUCUGGUGCCAGCAGCCGCGGUAAUUCCAGCUCCAAUAGAGUAUAUAAACGUUCCUGCAGUUAUUCGAUGCUCGUAGUUGGAUUUCUGAGGUUGAGACGGGAGGGUGGCUAUGGCCAUCGCCCGACUCUUUCCUCAUCCACCUGUUUGCGAAUCCCGGGAUUGAUUUCUCGGUUUCGGGCGCAGGAUCUUACCAUUUCAUAUUGCGUAGUCUUCAUCGAUUAUGUUGUUUCUUUGAGCAAAUUAUAGUGUUUCAGGCAGGCGUGCGCCGGAAUACGUUAGCAUGGUAUAAACGAAUUGGACCGUGUGCCCGUAACUGGGCUUCUCCUUAUUGUUGGUUUGAAGGACACGGAGAUGGUUAAUAGGGACAGAAUUUAUUCAGGGGGAGGCAUUAGUAUUUAAUUUCCAGAGGUGAAAUUCUUUGAAAUAUUAAAGACUAACAUAUGCGAAAGCAUUCUUUGCCAAUGAUGUUUUCAUUAAUC
rnacentral:rRNA from 1 species